rnacentral:rRNA from 1 species
AACGAACGCUGGGGGCGCGUCUUAAGCAUGCAAGUCGAACGGCAAGAUUGGUGCUUGCACCGAUCCUAGAGUGGCGGACUGGUGAGUAACGCGUGGGUGACGUACCCUAAGGAUGGGGAUAGCUGGUAGAAAUAUCAGAUAAUACCGAAUAUCCUUAUUGUUGUUAGAGGACAGUAAGGAAAGGAGCUUUGGCUUCGCCUAAGGAUCGGCCCGCGUACUAUUAGCUAGUUGGUGAGGUAACGGCUCACCAAGGCGACGAUAGUUAUCCGGCCUAAGAGGGUGAACGGACACAGUGGGACUGAGAUACGGCCCAGACUCCUACGGGAGGCAGCAGCUAAGAAUAUUCCGCAAUGGAGGAAACUCUGACGGAGCGACGCCGCGUGGAUGAUGAAGGCCGGAAGGUUGUAAAAUCCUUUUAAGCAAGAAGAAUAAACUUUACAGGGAAUGGUAGAGUGGUGACGGUAUUGCUUGAAUAAGCAACGGCUAAUUACGUGCCAGCAGCCGCAGUAAAAC